rnacentral:rRNA from 1 species
CCUACGGGGAGCAGCAGUGAGGAAUAUUGGUCAAUGGUCGGGAGACUGAACCAGCCAAGCCGCGUGAGGGAGGAAGGUACAGAGUAUCGUAAACCUCUUUUGUCAGGGAACAAAGGCGGGGACGUGUCCCCGGAUGAGUGUACCUGAAGAAAAAGCAUCGGCUAACUCCGUGCCAGCAGCCGCGGUAAUACGGAGGAUGCGAGCGUUAUCCGGAUUUAUUGGGUUUAAAGGGUGCGCAGGCGGUCUGUUAAGUCAGCGGUAAAAGCCCGGGGACCAACCCCGGCCCGCCGUUGAAACUGGCAGUCUCGAGUUGGAGAGAAGUAUGCGGAAUGCGCGGUGUAGCGGUGAAAUGCAUAGAUAUCGCGCAGAACUCCGAUUGCGAAGGCAGCAUGCCGGCUCCACACUGACGCUGAGGCACGAAAGCGUGGGUAUCGAACAGGAUUAGAUACCCUUGUAGUC